UCGUAUGCAAUCAUCCAAUCCAAUAACUUGUGGAAAAACUGAGGGUUAAUUAGUGCAAUUCACGGUUAAUUUGUGGCGUUGAGUAUUCAUAGCUUAUCGAAAAGCAACUGGAAAUCGUUUUGUAUGCAAGUGUGACAUGUGUGGAGAAGAACCUCCUAGCUAACCUUCCAUCCAUAAGUUUCAUUCAAAUUCAUUUUACAAUCUGUUUUGAUUCACUUAAAUUUGUCU
rnacentral:lncRNA from 1 species